UUCUGGUUGAUCCUGCCGGACCCGACUGCUAUUUGGGUGAGGAUAAGCCAUGCGAGUUGAAUGGGAUACCUAAAGUUCCCAUGGCAAACUGCUCAGUAACACAUGAUCAACUUGCCCUAUAGAGAAAAAUAACCUCGGGAAACUGAGGAUAAUGUUUCAUAGCUGAAUUGGCUUGGAAAAGUUUUUCAGUGAAAGGGAUAAAAAAAAUGGUUUUUAUCUGCUAUAGGAUAGGAUCGUGUUCGAUUAUGGUUGUUGGUGAGGUAAUGGCUCACCAAGCCGAUAAUCGAUAGGGGCCGUGAGAGCGGGAGCCCCGAGAUGGGUACUGAGACAACGACCCAGGCCUUACGAGGCGCAGCAGGCGCGAAACCUCCGCAAUACACGAAAGUGUGACGGGGUUACCCAAAGUGUUCAAUUUUGAACUGUGGUAGGUGAGUAAUGUUCCCUACUANAAAGGAGAGGGCAAGGCUGGUGCCAGCCGCCGCGGUAA
rnacentral:rRNA from 1 species